AGUGCAGCCGCCCAAGAAAGGAUUUUUUGUGACUCAGCCAGAUGUUCUCCUGCCUCCCGCCAAGACCCUGAGAUGGAGCUGAGUUUGCAUUCCAGUUUAUUGUAACAGAGGUUUAUCUGAAGUUUUCUCAGCUAUCUGAGGCACAGAGCCCUGGAACCAAGACGGCGUGAAGACUGAAAGUGUAAGAAGAUGUGGAGGGAAACAGAGAAUCUGACAGGAGCAUCGAACACACAGCACCCACGACUUUUUUGUUUCUCUAAACUGGCAGUAAAUGUAGGGUACUCAGAAAAUAUGUCUCCCUUAGAGUCCCACAAAAACAUUCUGGGUGAAAUCUGAAUUAAGUGCUAUGAGUCUUGAUAAAUUGGAGAAGAGCCCAAGAGAAAUUCAUCAUCCUGAGAUACAAAAGGAUUUAUUGGUUCAUGAAGAGUAAGAGGGAUCGGUGAAUUUUAACUCUGGAAUCCUCUAUGCUAAUGAUAGUCAGCUUACAGAUGAUUAAAUGUUCAGUAAUGGUGAGUUUUUCACCUUCUCCUUCAUUGUUUUGCUCAUCUGAAUUAAAAAAAAGGCAAGAUUAAAGAAAAAGAAAUAGUUUUAUUAUUUUUUACCCUGUUAUGUCUGUUUCCUCAGUAUUUGCUGGAGCUGUGCUUACCCAAGCUUUGGGUAAAACAAGCUUUGGGUUCCUUCUGUCUCACUAGGAGUUGCCCAAUUCAGUUGCAUCUGGUGAAAUUCACCCUGAGACCUUACAGAACUAGCUCAAACUAUGUGAGAGCCAUUUGCAGGUCUCUCCAGACACCUGGAGAAUGGGUGAUACUUCUGAGGAUCUGGCAAGUGUAGUUAUCCAAAAAGGUACAAAGACUAAAAAAAUCAUAAGAAGCAAAUAGGACUUCAGAGAAAACAAACUGGAGAGAACAAAAGGUGAUAUUGUUAUCCUUAUCCUGUAUUAGAAACAUCCACUGUGCUUUGAUGCUGGUAGCUGCCAGGGGCUUGUUUGGUCUGUUUAGGCAGGUGUAGGUGUUCACUUGUAGGUUUUUUCUCUGGACAAGUCAAUUCAAACUUUGCUAAGCUUACAUUUGAAAAUUACUCUCUAGAACAGUCCAGCAUGACAUGCUGGAUGUCGUCCCCCAGAGGGACCCAAAGCUGCCAGAAAUUUCACAGGGAGGGGUGGGUGUAGAAUACUAAAACCUGUCAAGUUUUUCAUUUUUAUAGGUAUUGGCAAAGAAAAGGAAUUUAUCUCUAAAUUCAUUUGGAAAGAAACCUUCUCUCUAUCCACUCAUUUGUAUACAGGAAUGUAGGAAACUCUGACUAGAGAUGGGUAAUAGUUUUGAAAAUAAA